rnacentral:rRNA from 1 species
AUAUCAAUAAGCGGAGGAAAAGAAACUAACAAGGAUUCCCCUAGUAACUGCGAGUGAAGCGGGAAAAGCUCAAAUUUAAAAUCUGGCGGCUUCAGCUGUCCGAAUUGUAAUCUAGAGAAGUGUUAUCUGCGCUGGACCAUGUACAAGUCUUCUGGAACGGAGCGUCGCAGAGGGUGAUAAUCCCGUAUCUGACAUGGACUACCAGUGCUUUGUGAUGCGCUCUCGAAGAGUCGAGUUGUUUGGGAAUGCAGCUCUAAAUGGGUGGUAAAUUCCAUCUAAAGCUAAAUAUUGGCGAGAGACCGAUAGCGAACAAGUACCGUGAGGGAAAGAUGAAAAGAACUUUGGAAAGAGAGUUAAACAGUAC